rnacentral:lncRNA from 1 species
UUAGACUCUGACCCAACUUGAAAGAGUUUCAAGUGUGGAAGAAAACCUCCAUGUCACUCUAGUUUCAUGCCAUAAAUUAAAUAUCACCACCCUCUUUUUAGCGUUGAGAAGAAGAAGAGUCUUUUUUCUUUAAGACUGUUAACCACUUCUUAAAUUUCUAAGAAUUCCUCUAAUGUCACAUGCCUAAAAUAAAUGAUAGAAUUAUGGGGCA